GACAAAUGCCCUGCUUCCAGGAAAAGCCUCUAAGCAUCAGGUAACAUCAAAUCGUACCCCAAACCGACACAGGUGGUCAGGUAGAGAAUACCAAGGCGCUUGAGAGAACUCGGGUGAAGGAACUAGGCAAAAUGGUGCCGUAACUUCGGGAGAAGGCACGCUGAUAUGUAGGUGAAGCGACUUGCUCGUGGAGCUGAAAUCAGUCGAAGAUACCAGCUGGCUGCAACUGUUUAUUAAAAACACAGCACUGUGCAAACACGAAAGUGGACGUAUACGGUGUGACGCCUGCCCGGUGCCGGAAGGUUAAUUGAUGGGGUUAGCGGUAACGCGAAGCUCUUGAUCGAAGCCCCGGUAAACGGCGGCCGUAACUAUAACGGUCCUAAGGUAGCGAAAUUCCUUGUCGGGUAAGUUCCGACCUGCACGAAUGGCGUAAUGAUGGCCAGGCUGUCUCCACCCGAGACUCAGUGAAAUUGAACUCGCUGUGAAGAUGCAGUGUACCCGCGGCAAGACGGAAAGACCCCGUGAACCUUUACUAUAGCUUGACACUGAACAUUGAGCCUUGAUGUGUAGGAUAGGUGGGAGGCUUUGAAGUGUGGACGCCAGUCUGCAUGGAGCCGACCUUGAAAUACCACCCUUUAAUGUUUGAUGUUCUAACGUUGGCCCGUAAUCCGGGUUGCGGACAGUGUCUGGUGGGUAGUUUGACUGGGGCGGUCUCCUCCUAAAGAGUAACGGAGGAGCACGAAGGUUGGCUAAUCCUGGUCGGACAUCAGGAGGUUAGUGCAAUGGCAUAAGCCAGCUUGACUGCGAGCGUGACGGCGCGAGCAGGUGCGAAAGCAGGUCAUAGUGAUCCGGUGGUUCUGAAUGGAAGGGCCAUCGCUCAACGGAUAAAAGGUACUCCGGGGAUAACAGGCUGAUACCGCCCAAGAGUUCAUAUCGACGGCGGUGUUUGGCACCUCGAUGUCGGCUCAUCACAUCCUGGGGCUGAAGUAGGUCCCAAGGGUAUGGCUGUUCGCCAUUUAAAGUGGUACGCGAGCUGGGUUUAGAACGUCGUGAGACAGUUCGGUCCCUAUCUGCCGUGGGCGCUGGAGAACUGAGGGGGGCUGCUCCUAGUACGAGAGGACCGGAGUGGACGCAUCACUGGUGUUCGGGUUGUCAUGCCAAUGGCACUGCCCGGUAGCUAAAUGCGGAAGAGAUAAGUGCUGAAAGCAUCUAAGCACGAAACUUGCCCCGAGAUGAGUUCUCCCUGAGACUUAGAGUCUCCUGAAGGAACGUUGAAGACGACGACGUUGAUAGGCCGGGUGUGUAAGCGCAGCGAUGCGUUGAGCUAACCGGUACUAAUGAACCGUGAGGCUUAACCUU
rnacentral:rRNA from 1 species